AGUCGACCGGGCGAAGCCUGACCGCAAUGCCGCCGUGCAGGAAGAAGGCCUUCGGGUUGUAAACUGCUUUUGUACGGAACGAAACGGCCUUUUCUAAUAAAGAGGGCUAAUGACGGUACCGUAAGAAUAAGCACCGGCUAACUACGUGCCAGCAGCCGCGGUAAUACGUAGGGUGCGAGCGUUAAUCGGAAUUACUGGGCGUAAAGCGUGCGCAGGCGGUUCUAUAAGACAGAUGUGAAAUCCCCGGGCUCAACCUGGGAAUGGCAUUUGUGACUGUAGAGCUAGAGUACGGUAGAGGGGGAUGGAAUUCCGCGUGUAGCAGUGAAAUGCGUAGAUAUGCGGAGGAACACCGAUGGCGAAGGCAAUCCCCUGGACCUGUACCGACGCUCAUGCACGAAAG
rnacentral:rRNA from 1 species